UAUGUCACUGUUUUUUUGUAGUGUUCUCCUAUUUAAUUUUCACAAGAUUAUUAGACUGUGUACGUAGCGUACGUUAAUUUCAUGCAAUUAAUAAAUAUCUCUUAUUAUAAGAAAAUAGUAGAGUAUAUAAUUUAGUUAAUUACCGUAUCUUCUCUCCAUGUAUUGCGAGAGACCAGCUUGGGUUACUCCAAGUAAAACAUCGUUGACUGUCUAUUAUAACAGAGUAUGAGAUAUUCAUUAUUAUUAUUUAAAAAUAAAAAUAAACUUUAUAGCACUCUCCUAACUUAUAUAUUCUCCUAUUUUAUGACCAAGAGAGAAUUAGAUGCUAGUAAGCCAUCUCUAUGACGAAUUGAACAAACAAUGUUAUGACUAAGAGAGAACGUCGACCAACUAAUCAAAGGAUAAACCAAACCAUACCAUCUUCAUGGCGUUCUUGAUUACCUUUAUAUCGUCAAGGCUUACGGUACGAUGAACCAAACGAAGGGCUUUACUCUUCUUCAUUGACAGGAAAUCACCUUUGAUGGGCGUCUUGGUGUCCUUGAGGAACAACGUCGUAACAAAGAACUCAAAAGCAUCAGAAACCGUGUUUAACACCAGCAUAACCGCAGUCCAAAUAACCUUAAUCAACCACCAUAACCUGGAACUACUCAUUGAACCGGUCGUUAACCGGGAUGAUGCAGAAGGGAGACUCGGGAGCUCAUCAGGGUUCGAUGUCUUACGCAUACAAGCGAGGACAAGAGACAUGAUUGACAUGCCAUCGCCAACCGAAUGAUGGAUUUUUAGAACGGCGACGUUCUCAGCGUCUGAGGUUUUCAAGUCGAGUAGAUGAAGCUCCCAUAACGGCCUCGAGGUGUCCAAAGGGAUCUUCAUGAGGUCGGAAACAUAAUCCUCCAGAAAUGCGUCUGCUGUCUCUAUGUUUUGUGGUAUGAUUUUAUGGACAACAAUGUGAUCCCUGACGACUACUUUUGUCUGAACCCAUCUUUGCUUUUGUCCAUUGUUCCCAUCGCUCACCUUCAUGUAAUUAUUUUUGAAAUUUAUAAUAUAAAACAUCAGUCAUAUGAUUUAGAUCAUUUUGAAUUAAAUCAGAUCUUUAUCCUUUAAAAAAAAAAUAGACAAUAUUAAUACCAUUUGGCAUGUCUGGUUGAUGUUUUUACUACAUAUUUACAUAACUAAACGUUCAUGUCAUGGACGGUAUUUAUUCUCUUUUAGUUUAGUUAUUUAAAACUUAGAAGAUAAAUUAUGUCUUGUAAUGUAAAUUUCAAUUUUAUUCUAUUUUAAAUAUAUAGAUUCUUAUUUAAAUUUUUUAAAAAGAAACUGAAGUCUUAUGUUGGAAUGUCAAAUAUAUUGAUCUACGAAAAUGAUUUUUUUUUAUCAAGUUGCAAUAAUAUAUUAGCUAGCCUAUUAGGUUUACAUCUGCUAUAUAGCUCGACAUUGUAAUUUUAAAGAAAUUUAUAAUAUUUUAUGCUUAGUAAAACAGAUUUUUUGUAGUAAAACAGAUUAUUUUUUUAUGACAAAACAAUUAAUAAAAAAGAAAACAGAUUUUUGUAGAAUUUAUGUGAUGUAAGCGUACAAUGUAUUGAGUUAACUAGAAUAUUUUAUAUUUAAAUAUAGAAUUUAUCUGUGCUUUUAAUAUUUUAUAACUUAAUUUAUAAAUAUAUAAAUAUAAUUAUAUAAGAUUAAAAAUCAAUAAUAUAUAUAUAUAUAUAUAUAUAUAAUUUAUCUCUAGUUGGUUUUUACUUUAAGAUGAUUUUUAAAAAGAGAUAAUUGGCUAAUUAGUUAAAAUUGGAAUCAUAAUUGACAAACUACCUCACGCACCAAAAAAUUCAUCAUCUAUGUAAUAUAUUCUCUCCUCCUUUCCGGUUUUACCCCUACACUCAUUUCAAUGUCUGUCUUUCUCAUUCUCUUUCUUCAUCUUCUAUUUCUUUUUCUAUCUUCCUUUAAUCUCCAUCCAAAUAAUUUUAGUUUUUAACGAUGAAAACAUAUUAAAAAAAUUUGUUCAUCAGUGGAAUUUCAACGGAUAGUAACAAGAAUCUUCUCAGGAAGUACUUCAGCAACUAUGGAGAAGUUUUACAGGUAAAGAUGAUGCAAAAGAAAGCUUCAUGACAAAUCUAUUAACCGGCGUUCUAGCACCAACCUCAAUCGACAUCCUCCUCUUCCUCAUCCCAUCCCAUCUUUUCCACCAUCCCCAAUCUAUAAAUCUCCCCAUUAGACUUAUGGAAUUAAGGAUUGCGGUUUGUUGUAGGUUCUCAGCAAUUCAAGAAUGUACCACUCAUUCUAAUUUUUAAGUUAGAUGUUAUAUUAAAUGUUAGUGCAUAACUUUUUUUAUCAGGAAACUAUACUUACAAGUAAAAUGGUUGUUGCCGAUACUUUAUUUGUUAGUUGAUACAUGGUUCGUUAACUGAUACAUUGUUUGAUAUACUGUUUGUUAAUUGAUAUAUUUUUAAUAUAUUCACCAUUAUUUAGUAUAAAACUUCAUUUAAUUGACUAUGAAGAUGAUUGAGAAUAAAUGUCCAGUAAAUGUUAUAUUACAUGUUAGUGCAUAACUUUUUUAUUAGGAAACUAUACUUACAAAGUAAAAUGGUUGUUGCCGAUAUUUUAUAUGUUAGUUGAUACAUGGUUCGUUAACUGAUAUAUUGUUUGAUAUACUGUUUGUUAAUUGAUAUAUAUUUGAUAUAUUCACCAUUAUUUAGUAUAAAACUUCAUUUAAUUGACUAUGAAGAUGAUUGACAAUAAAUAUCCAGUAAAUGUUCAUUAUUUGGUAUCAAAUUAUAUAUCCGCUAAGAGAAUCACACAUAAAGUAACAAUCCACGUAUCAACUAACAAACUAUGUUGCAAACAAACAUAUCAGAUAAAAAAUCAUGUAUCGGUUACUAAACCAUGUAUCAGUUAAUGAAAAAUAUUUUGUGAUAUUUUAUCAAUCAUUUUUCAAUUAGUAUUAAUCUGUUGGUAACAACUAAUCUCUCAUGUACCAGUUAAUGAUAGCUAUUUUGAUACAUCUUAUACAAUAUUUAUCAAUUAGUUGUGUAUGUUUAACCAAAUAUGUAUCUUCAAUGAUGAUAUAAAAUUGAGAAUCCGUUUAAACACAAAUAAUCAUAUAUAAAUAACUACUAACAUUUAUGUUAUCUAAAUCAAAAAAUAAUUUCACAAAUUCUUAAUCAACCAUUGCCUGAGCCAGGUUCACGAAAUCAUCGUCGCCGGCAAGUCACCCAACCACAUCGGAAAGAUAAAAACACAACACAAAAUUGAAAUUAAAAAGUGGGUGAUAGCGGCUCCACCAUCUUUUCUCAGCCAUCGAAGUCUUCUUCUUCGUCGCUUCCGUUACAUAACACCAAAAUUUCUUUAUGAAACUAUCAAUAUUGUGAUUAAAAAUUUAAUUUGGACAAAAAUUUAAGGUCCUGGUAUCAGUGUGAGACGAUGAGAUUAGUGUUAUAGUGGCUGUGUAAUCAAAGUAAAUUAGAAGUAUAUAUAUUUGGUGAUCGAUUGAGUAAAUUAGGAUUCACAGUGAAUUGAUUAAGAAUUAAUAGAGUUUGGAUAUGAUGUUUGUCUGGCGAAGAAAGAAAAAGAUAGAAGAGUAUAACAUAAAGAAGACAAGAGAGAGCAAAGAGUAGGGAUAUUUUGGAAUUAAUGAUAAGUGCACAGUGUACCAAAUAGUGAAUGGUAGUUCUCAAAUUUUGGCUUUUUGGUGUAUAUGCACCCUAAUUUCUCUUUUAAGAAAUUAAAAAUGGGUCAAUACAUCAUUUUGUUGGGUAAAAUCAAUCAUGAUUCUUUAUAAUACUACUUAAAUAGGAAGUAAAGCAGAAAGAAGAGAUCAUGUGUAAUGUUUUAUUGAUCGAGAAAUCAUGAAUACAAUGUAUUAGUGUAUAAACCAUAGUUCUAAUUUUUUUUCCCAUAUGUCGAAUGUGAAUAGUUGUCAAUCCUCUUCUUUUAGGGUUUUGGAGUUUGUUUUAUAAGUAGUUAUAGUCGAAAUCUAGGUUAGAUCUUUUCAUAUCUUGAAAUAUGAAAAUAUCUUUCUUUAUCUAGAAGUUUUCUUGUUUGACCUAGAGGCAAGAGAAAACAUGACACAAAGGCCGGAAACGGUUAGCAUUAAAAGGUCAGCGUUCUGUUUCACACAAGAGGAUUUGCUUCCUUGAUUAAAUAUCUUCAACAAUUUACCUUUUAUUUUCUGAAUUCAUGUUUGAAGUUGGAAGAUAACUUGUGGUUUUCGGACGAUAUUGGGGAUUAUCCAAACAGGGAGCACGACGUUGCUUCUUGGGGAUUAUCCAGACUGUCAUUUUAUGAACCAUUCGAGAAUCCAAUGGAAGAUGCUUUAUUACAAAAGUGUAUGACACCAGGAGAGACCAGAGUCUCUUAGAUCAUUAGACAUGGGGCCCAUAUGAUAAGGUGCCCUGAAUGGACUCAUAGUCUAGGGUUCAUAGUGCAAUGAUAUGCGAACUUUUCUUGGUGGCGCAUGGCCUAAGUUGGCACUUUGUCUUAUGGGCACGGAGACUUGUGGGCAAGUGGUUUUGUAUUUGAUAGAAGGUAUCUGGUCUAAAGGGUGCAUGACCUGACUAGCGGGGGGAGGGACUUAGCAUUAUGUUAUAUGAGCAUAUGAUGUCAUCUUGUUUGUCAGCAAAAAUCCGUGGAUUGAGCCAGUAAAUAAACUUGUGAGCUGCUUUAAUGAGUAGUGAUCUUAGUCUGGAUGAUAGUGAUCAUGUAGAUUUGCUUGAGACAUCGAUGAAGAUAACCUUUGGAGUUUAUAUCAUGUAGAUUUGCUUGAGACAUCGAUGAAGAUAACCUUUGGAGUUUAUUUCUAUGUUUUAUAGGAAGGAAGAUUCAACACGAGGGCAUUAGAAGAAGAUGUGAAGGAGAUUAUCCGAGGUCAAAAUUGGAAGGUAUGUACCCUUGUUAGACAUAAUUUGGUACAAGUGAUUCUUGCUCAGCUUUACGGUAUGAUAUGAAGGAAUAGACGCCAUGUUUUAUUGCCAUAAAUCAGGGAGUAUGGUGUUUCGCUUAUGGCUAUUUUUGUAGUGGUUUGGUAAUGCCCAUAUAACAAUCCUUAUAAUUCUUCUACCCA